AUUGAACGCUGGCGGCAUGCCUAACACAUGCAAGUCGAGCGAGCGGCGGACGGGUGAGUAAUGUAUGGGGACUGCCCGAUAGAGGGGGAUAACUACUGGAAACGGUGGCUAAUACCGCUUAAUAUCGGAUAACCCAGAUGGGAUUAGCGAGGUGGUGGGGUAAAGGCUCACCUAGGCGACGAUCCCUAGCUGGUCUGAGAGGCUGAUCAGCCACACUGGGACUGAGACACGGCCCAGACUCCUACGGAGGCAGCAGUAGGGAAUAUUGCGCAAUGGACGAAAGCCUGAUGCAGCAAUGCCGCGUGUGUGAAGAAGGCCUUAGGGUUGUAAAGUACUUUCAGCGGGGAAGCGUUACCCGCAGAAGAAGCACCGGCUAACUCCGUGCCAGCAGCCGCGGUAAUAC
rnacentral:rRNA from 1 species